UGUGCGGAGCAGGUGUCUGUGCUAAGGUUGGCAUCAGUCUGGUGAUAUCCGGGAAGUUUGGGGUCCCCAGGUUACCUAAGUGGGGGGGGAGGGGUGAACCGGCCCAGAUCGGAAACGGAGCCGGUCAAAACUCCUGUUCCCAUUGACAGCGGGAUCGCUCCUGUGAACA
ensembl:misc_RNA Metazoa_SRP Metazoan signal recognition particle RNA